AGUGACCCUUAUUGAAGCUAUAGCUGUUUCCACAUUGCUGCUGCAGUCAAAAAGGUGCCCAGAGUGAUCGUUUUCCUUGACAGUCACCAUUCUGUUUGCCACAUUUGCAACAUUUCAGGAAAACACAGUU